rnacentral:rRNA from 1 species
GGGGAAUUUUGGACAAUGGGCGCAAGCCUGAUCCAGCCAUUCCGCGUGCAGGAUGAAGGCCCUCGGGUUGUAAACUGCUUUUGUACGGAACGAAAAGCCUUCUUCUAAUACAGGAGGGUCAUGACGGUACCGUAAGAAUAAGCACCGGCCAACUACGUGCCAGCAGCCGCGGUAAUACGUAGGGUGCAGGCGUUAAUCGGAAUUACUGGGCGUAAAGCGUGCGCAGGCGGUUUGCUAAGACAGGUGUGAAAUCCCCGGGCUUAACCUGGGAACUGCGCUUGUAACUGGCAAGCUUGAGUGCGGCAGAGGGGGGUGGAAUUCCACGUGUAGCAGUGAAAUGCGUAGAUAUGCGGAGGAACACCGAUGGCGAAGGCAAUCCCCUGGGCCUGCACUGACGCUCAUGCACGAAAGCGUGGGGAGCAAA